AUUGAACGCUGGCGGCAGGCCUAACACAUGCAAGUCGAGCGGAUGAAGGGAGCUUGCUCCUGGAUUCAGCGGCGGACGGGUGAGUAAUGCCUAGGAAUCUGCCUGGUAGUGGGGGAUAACGUCCGGAAACGGGCGCUAAUACCGCAUACGUCCUGAGGGAGAAAGUGGGGGAUCUUCGGACCUCACGCCAUCAGAUGAGCCUAGGUCGGAUUAGCUAGUUGGUGGGGUAAAGGCCUACCACGGCGACGAUCCGUCACUGAUCUGCGAGGAUGAACAGUCACACUGGAACUGAGGCACGGUCCUGCCUGCGUCGGGAGGCAGCUGUAGGGCAUAUUGGACACUAGGCGAAAGCAUGAUCCAGACAUGCCGUGUGUGUGAAGAAGGUAUUCGGAUUGGGAAGCACAUUAAGUUAGGAGGGAGGGCAGUAAGUUAAUACCUUGCUGUUUUGGCGUUACCAUCAGAAUAAGCAACGGCUAACUUCGUG
rnacentral:rRNA from 1 species